rnacentral:rRNA from 1 species
GCUUGUCUCAAAGAUUAAGCCAUGCAUGUCUCAGUAUAAGUUCCUGUACGGCGAAACUGCGAAUGGCUCAUUAUAUCAGUUAUAGUUUAUUUGAUGGUCCUUACUACUUGGAUAACCGUAGUAAUUCUAGAGCUAAUACAUGCAUCAAACCCCGACUUCUGGAAGGGGUGUAUUUAUUAGAUGGAAACCAAUGCGGGGCAACCCGGAAUAUGGUGAUUCAUAAUAACUUUCGGAUCGAUUUAUCGAUGCAUCAUUCAAGUUUCUGCCCUAUCAGCUUUGGAUGGUAGGGUAUUGGCCUACCAUGGCUUUAACGGGUAACGGAGAAUUAGGGUUCGAUUCCGGAGAGGGAGCCUGAGAAAUGGCUACCACAUCCAAGGAAGGCAGCAGG